UACGUAGGUGGCAAGCGUUGUCCGGAUUCACUGGGCGUAAAGCGCGCGCAGGCGGUCUUCUACGUCUGGGGUGAAAACCCGGGGGCUCAACCCCCGGGACUGCCUUGGAUACGGGGAGACUUGAGGAUCGGAGAGGCAAGGGGAAUUCCACGUGUAGCGGUGAAAUGCGUAGAGAUGUGGAGGAACACCUGUGGCGAAGGCGCCUUGCUGGCCGAUUUCUGACGCUGAGGCGCGAAAGCGUGGGGAGCAAACAGG
rnacentral:rRNA from 1 species